rnacentral:rRNA from 1 species
CAGUCGCCGCGGUAAUACGGAGGGGGCUAGCGUUGUUCGGAAUUACUGGGCGUAAAGCGCACGUAGGCGGCUUGGUAAGUUAGAGGUGAAAGCCCGGAGCUCAACUCCGGAAUUGCCUUUAAGACUGCCGAGCUAGUAGGUGAGAGAGGUAAGUGGAAUUCCGAGCGUAGAAGUGAAAUUCGUAGAUAUUCGGAAGAACACCAGUGGCGAAGGCGGCUUACUGGCUCAUUCUAGACGCUGAGGUGCGAAAGCGUGGGGAGCAAACAGGAUUAGAUACCCCCGUAGUCCCUGUCUCUUAUAC